AGCACCUGUUUUGGUGCUAUAUAUAUUCAAAUUGGAACAGUGCAAAGAUGAUCACUUACCCCUGAGCAAAGGUAAUAUACAAAUUUGUGAAGUGCUACAUGUUUUU